rnacentral:rRNA from 1 species
AUUGAACGCUGGCGGCAUGCCUUACACAUGCAAGUCGAACGGCAGCACGGGUGCUUGCACCUGGUGGCGAGUGGCGAACGGGUGAGUAAUACAUCGGAACGUACCUUAUCGUGGGGGAUAACGCAGCGAAAGCUGUGCUAAUACCGCAUACGCCCUGAGGGGGAAAGCGGGGGAUCGCAAGACCUCGCGCGAUUAGAGCGGCCGAUGCCUGAUUAGCUUGUUGGUGGGGUAAAAGCCCACCAAGGCGACGAUCGGUAGCUGGUCUGAGAGGACGAUCAGCCACACAGGGACUUAGACACGACCCAGACUGCUACGGGAGGCAGCAGUGGGGAAUUUUGGACAAUGGGGGCAACCCUGAUCCAGCAAUGCCGCGUGAGUGAAGAAGGCCUUCGGGUUGUAAAGCUCUUUUGUCAGGGAAGAAACACCGGCUCUAACACAGUCCGGGAAUGACGGUACCUGAAGAAUAAGCACCGGCUAACUACGUGCCAGCCGCCGCAGUAA